UGGGGAAUAUUGGACAAUGGGCGAAAGCCUGAUCCAGCCAUGCCGCGUGUGUGAAGAAGGUCUUCGGAUUGUAAAGCACUUUAAGUUGGGAGGAAGGGCAGUAAGCGAAUACCUUGCUGUUUUGACGUUACCGACAGAAUAAGCACCGGCUAACUCUGUGCCAGCAGCCGCGGUAAUACAGAGGGUGCAAGCGCUAAUCGGAAUUACUGGGCGUAAAGCGCGCGUAGGUGGUUCGUUAAGUUGAAUGUGAAAGCCCCGGGCUAAACCUGGGAACUGCAUCCAAUAAUGGGGGGCUAGAGCAUGGUAGAGGGUAGUGGAAUUUCCUGUGUAGCGGUGAAAGGCGUAGAUAUAGGAAGGAACACCAGUGGCGAAGGCGACCACCUGGGCUCAUACUGACACUGAGGUGCGAAAGCGUGGGGAGCAAACAGG
rnacentral:rRNA from 1 species